rnacentral:tmRNA from 1 species
GGGGAUGUAUUUUGGUUUCGACAGUAUUUUUGAAGUACGAAUAGCAAGUAGUGGAUGGUCGCUUUGGCCACUAUAAAAAAGCGAGUUAAUAAUAAACGCUGAUAAUGAAUUAGCAUACGCUGCCUAGGCAGUGUCAUCUUACUGCAUAGCCUACUGAUGUAGAUAAGGUGUCGACUAAAGUAGGAAACAAAAUUAUUUCUUGCCUUGGAAAUAAUGGGUAUUUAAAAGGCUACAAAAACUAAUAGCGUGUUUAUUUGCUGUGGUUUUAUGGAAAUCAAAUAAUAAACUAAACUUGUAGAAGUUCGUAUGAAUAGAAUAUUGGACGAGGGUUCGACUCCCUCCAUCUCCACCA